rnacentral:lncRNA from 10 species
GCCAUCUUGGCUCCACCUUAAACUUAUUUUUAAAGAAUAUUUUCAAUCUACACUUUGUUGAAUACACAGAUGUGGAGCCCAUGAAUUUGGACGGCUGACUGUAUUAUUCAAAAGAAAAUGAGCCUUCAACUCCUUCUGCAAAGGGGAGAUCAGCCUUCACCACUUCAGUCAUUAUACUAAAACAUGAUCAUUUCUUUCCCAUUUCAAUCACAAUCUUCUUUUGAUAGCCUGUAACUUAUGUGUGAAUUAUAAAGUUAGCCACCUACAACAAAACCUAUAUGAAAUAGAAGGGUAAAGAAAGAAGGAAACAUUAGUAUUAAAUAUACCAAUUCAUACAUGCAUAGAUAUGGCUAGCUACUGUAGUACUUAUUUCUAAAAGUCAGAAGAUGGCAUUUUUAAUUUCCUUUAUCAUUAUCUACACCACAUUCUUUUCAGCUGUGGAAAGCUUUGACAUUCUUAGCGUAUAUCUGGUAGAACUGAAACCUUCAUUUGUGAUGUGUCUGAAUCUUUAGUGAUUCUGCUGUAGUAAAUUGCUGUUGUUUUCCAUCAUCUUUUAUUCCUGGAUCUGACAGUACAGGAGGUGCCUCAGAGGACCCCAUUGGUUGUUUAACAGCAACCCCCUCCCCUAUAAUAAUCUGAACCAUUCACUUCAGCUAAUGAAAUAAUUGACUUUUAUGCCCACUGUUUGGUGAAAAAAAAAUGCCAGUUGCUUUUUUCAACCCCUCAUUAAACUAACUAUGGUUGUGUACCCUGAUCUCUUGAGUGCUGAAAUAUCCAAAACAACAUAGCCAAAAGCCAGAAUGAUAGAAACAAACAUUUUGUCAGUGGACAUUAGGUAUAACAGGGACAGGCAUCCAUUCUGAUUUCUCUUUAAGAAAUCUGUUUGUUCCCGGACCUGUGAAUUUUGGUUAUGGAUUUACAGAGCCUAUUGGAAGAUACAUUCCAUUUAUAAUCUGACCUCUGUAAGUACUUACUUACAGAGGACUUACAAAUACACCAUAAUGGCUUUCUGGUUCCAUCAGAAUUAGAAUUAACUCAGAGCCAGUGAACAAUAAUCCCCAAAAUGUUUGAAGAUUUUCCUUUCUCCAAUGCGCAAUGACCUUUGUAAAUAGCUGUAGUUUUCUUCAGGGAAGACUAGGAAGAAUGUUUGCAGUUCAUACUGGAGAAAGCAUCACAACAUCAUUCCCCAGUGAUACUCAGCCUCUCAAUCAUUCCAGAUAUAUUUGUGUUGUAAACUUACUUAGGUCUCAGCAGUAGUUGAGAGAUGAUGAUCUCACAUUACGGUGAUUUAAAUCAAGUUUUUGUUCAGUCUACCUAAAGUUUUUGUCUGUUUGUUUUGUUUUAUGUUGUUUUUAGUUAUACAGAUUAUAUACAAACAAAGUAUACUUUGUAUCUGAUCUGUACUUGGAAUGUUCAAUUAAAUAGCCACUCCUCAAAUGCCUGUAGGUAAAACCAUUCUGAUGACCAGUCUGUCCCUACUCACCAUACUUCCAUUGGUGCAGUGAUGCUUCUUGUUCUCAUUCAGGAUCUUAACAUUCUCAAAGAAAUAUGAUGUUUCAUUCCACUUAUAGCAUCUCUCACCUUCAUUCUUAUCUUCAUAUGACAAUCAUUGUGUCUGUUGCUUCUAUUACCAAUGUAUUUCUCAAUGCCUUUGUGGAAUGAAUUCCUUUCAGAGGACAAAGUCAGGAGAUAUUUUGAUAUGUUUAUUUCAAAUCAAAAUCCUUGUCUCCCUGACUCUUUAGAUUGCCUUUUCUAAAUUUUACCAAGGAAUUCACGGCAUUUCAACCUCAUUCAAUAUAUGUCACCUGCUAUAAUCUGAAUUUUUUUUUGCCCCCAAAAUUCCUCUGGUGAAAUUCUCACCCCCAAGGUAGUGGUAUUGGGAGAUGGGCCUUUGGGAGAUGAUGAGGGCAUGGGGUAGAGUUCUUAUGAAUGGAAUUAGUGCUUUUAUAAAUGAGGCCCAAGAGAGACCCCUUGUCCUUUCCAUCAUAUAAGGACACAGUGAGAAGAUGACAUCUAUGAACCAGAAAAAGGGGCCUCACCAGGGAAUACACCAGUAGAUUCAGAUACUGAAUCUACUGCCACCUUGAUCUUAGACUUACCAGUCUCCAGAACUGUGAGAAAUAAAAUAGUUUUUAAAAGCUACCCAGCCUAUAGUAUUUUGUUAUAGCAGCCUGAAUUAACUAAGAUACUACUCUUGAGAUAAAGUUUUAAAUAAAACAUUGAGCAAAAAUUAGAACUAUAUUCAGCUUCUUGAGUCAGUGUAUCAAAUUCAGAAUUUCUAGUAAUUUAAAAAUUACAUCUUAAAAAUUCAUGCUGAUCUAAAAUAUUUUCUCCUUUUUUACCAUAUCACUCUCAAAAUCCAUUUUCAUGAAGAUUCUCCAGAUAUUUGCUGAUGUACAUCUAAAAAAUCUUUCAAAAUAUGUGGCAUUUAAAUGUUCUUCCUGCAGGUUAAACAUUUUACUUGGCUGCCUGGAAAAAGCUGAGAUGUGAUUCUGAUUACAAGUUUGGAAGCAAUUAAAAAUGGUGGGAUUGGGAGAGGAGAAGAUUUGACACUGUACUGCAAAGAAGUCAUCGCAGUAUCUUCAAGCUAGUCAGAACUGGCCUUAUAAAACAGGAAAAUAAAGAAUGUUUCAGAUUGCAAGGAAACAUAGUGAAGGGUAAGACUUAGAGUACUUGGAGUUAUUUAAAUCCUCCCAAAUAUCACCAUUUCAAUUUGAAAAUUCUACUCCUUCAAGAUGAAUCAUACCUUAUAUCUUACCUGCAUCUGAUUUAGUUGAUAUUUAGAUGAAAUGUUGGAGUUUAGACUUGAGUAGAUGUUGGAAUGAGUGAAGAUCUCUGGGGCUAUUGAGAUGAAAUAAAUGCAUUUUUAAUAUAAGAAAUACAUAAUUUGUGGGCGCAAGGGCAGAAUGCUAUGGACUUAAUGUUUGUGUCUUCCCCAAAUUCAAAACAAUAAACCCCCAAUCCCCAGUGUAAUGGCAUUUGGAGGUGAGGCCUUUGGGAGGUCAUGAGGUCAUGAGGUUACAGCCUUCAUAAAUGGGAUUAGUGUCAUUAUAAGACAUGGCACCAGACAGAUGCUCUCUCUCUCUCUCUCUCUCUCUCUCUCUCUCUGCCAUGUGAGAAUACAGCAAGAAGGUGACCAACUGCAAAUCAGGGAGAGGACUCUCACCAGACACCAAAUCUGCUGGCACCUUGAUCCUGGACUCCUCAGCCUCCAGAACUGUGAGAAAUAAAAUAUUUGUUUUUUAAGGCAUCCAUUCAUGGUAUUAAUUAUAGCAGCCCCAGAUGAUGAAGACAAGAGGCUACUAGUUGUUAACUAGAACCUCACUGCCUUUAAACUCAAAUAAACAAAGUAAUCAACCCCAGGUUCUUAACUUUGAAGAACUAUUACAUGUGGCCAUUUUUGGUGUCUACUACUAUAAUGGUCAGAAUUUUGUUUCAGGUAAAACAGACUACUAGCUCUUUUAAACAAAAGUGAUUUGACACAGGGGAUUGAGCACUGACACAUUAUUGGAAGGUGUGAUUUUAUGUGUGCCUUUGUCUAGACCACAAUACCUGGAUAUUUGAUCAAACCUUAUUCUAAAUGUUCCUGUAAAAGUAUUUUUUAGAUGAGGGUAACAUUUAAUCAGCAGAUUUUGAGUAAAGCAGGUUACCCCCUAUAAUGUGGGUGAUUUUCUUUCAAUUAGUUGAAGGCCUUAAGAGAAAAGAAAAACUGAGGUCUCCUGAAGAAGAGUGAAUUUUGCCAGCAAAUGGCAUUUACACUUGAACUGGAACAUCAAAACUUCCUUGACUCUCUCACCUGCUGGCCCAUCUUGUAGAUCUUUGACUUGCCAGCCUCCACAAUCAUGUGAGCCAAUUGCUUAAAAUAAACCUGUCUGUCUGUCUGUGUAUACACACACACGUCCUAUCAGUUCUCUUUCUCUGCAAAAGAAGAAGAGUUGAUUCUAAACUUGUCUCAGGGAUUACUCUCAAAACACAUUCCUGAAAUGCCAAACUAGGAAGAUAGCAACCUUGCCAUAAUUGAGGUAUGGGUAUCAGGAAACAGGAAACCGACAUGGAAAUUUUGGCUACAGAAUUACCUCACUGUAGUUGAAAUCCAUGUAUAGAAAGCACAUCUAAAUCCAUACUAAAUAUUUUAGGUCUGCACUGCUAAAUUAAAUUAAAUCUAAAAUAACAUAAAAAAAUAAAAUGAAUGUCCAUGUCCUGCCUCUUUCUUAACAUUUAUAAAACUAAGUAAUUGUCAUUGUUACUUUGGCUAAUAACGUUGCAGAAAAUCCAAGCUCCUCCAUGACUACUCAACAGCAAGAAGUACAAGAACCUCAGAAGUGUGGCCUCUUCUUCCCUUCCUCUUCAAUAUGUCCUGAACCUCCAGCAAAAUAAUGAGUAUCUUGACUCUUAUUGCACAUACAAUCUUUCCAGGGCUCUAUUCUGAAGCACUACAAGAGGAAACAGACUGGAACGACAAAGCUGAAUAGAGAGACCUAUGGAAGACAGAGAACUACAGAAAUCUAUUCUUUAUAUAUAAGUUAAGGCAAAACAAAUAUAUCAAUUUUACUAAAGCUUUUCAAUACUUAGACCCUGACAUGUGUAAAUGUGAAUAAACAUAUAUAUACAUACAAAUAUGCACCUUUAAAAUAAAAUAAGAGUGUAACUUGGUGAUGAGAAAAAAGAGAAGCAGUAAUAGCCAAAGUGUGGACUCGGAAGGGAAGAAGAAUGAGGUGGAGGCUUUCUUUCUUUUUCUGGCCUCAAGUUUCCAUAUGGAGAGACUUCAUACUGUAGAAAUAUCUAUCUACUACCAAUUUGAGAUCCUCCCCCAAAUCCUUACUCACUCCUUCCUAGGGGAAGAAUCAUGGUUUAUCUGAUUCAUCAUCACACUUUAGAGUUAUUGAACUUUACCACUGAUUAACAAAUUAAUCUGGUGAGCAAAUAAUCAGAGUAAAAUGAUACAACAUUUAAUUAGAUGUAAACUACAAGGCAUCUGGUGUCACCUAGGAAAGAAACAGGUGUCAGUGGUGACAUAUUUCAACCCUAUUGCACAAAUUCAGCAAGAGAACACCCACAAUCCACAUGUUACUGUGUUUGCCACACCUACGUUAUUAUGGGAAUCAGGAAAUCUGGAGUGACUGGCACUAAGAUAUUAAAUAGAAAUCUGGAAGUUACUAUCAUUUAUAUUGUCUUCCUAUGGAAUUCUCAUAUGUGCAGGUAAGUGUCCCAAAGGGAAGAAAAUUGUGCUUGGUUUGAUGGCUAUAAUUGACAUUGCAUAGGGUGAUCUACUCAAAAGACAAUGCAAAUUCAAUACCAAUAAGUUGAGUAAUAGGGUAAAAGGACAAACCAAAAGCUUGUACAUUUUUAUUGUUCUUACUGGAUGUAUGUACUUAUGUACAUGUAUGAAUAUGAAAAUAUUAUAAGUAGAGAUACUUUAAAAUGUGUAUCAAUGUGUGCACAUUCAUAUUUAUAAGAUCUAUAAUAUACAAGUAUAUAUUAUAUAUACUAUAUAUAAGUAUAUAUUUAUAUAUUAUGUAAGUAUAUAUUAUAUAUUAUAAGUAUAUAUAAUAUAUAGCUAUACAUAAUAUAUACUUAUUAUAUUAUAUAUUUUAUAUAUUUAUAUAAUAUCUUUGCCAUAAAAAAUACAUUAUGGAAAAUUUGAAACACAUACAAAAGUAGAGACAAUGGUAUAAUGAAUACCCCAUGUACCGAUAACCCAGGUCAACAAUUAUCUUCUCAUUGCUAAUUUAUUUCUUUUGUACCCCUACCCAUUUUCCCCUUUCCCCUUCCUGAUUAUUUCAAAACAAAUCCCAGACAUGAUAUUAUAUCAUCUGUAAGUAUUCUAGUGUUUGUUUCUAAAAGGCAAGAACCCCACUUUUAAAUAUAACCACAACACCAUCAUUACAUUUCACCCCCUACCUUUCAUUAUGUGAAGUCAACAAUAAUUCCUCAAUAUCACUAAAUAGCCAGUCAGGGUUCAAACUUCAGUUGUCAUACAAACGUUGUUGCUUUUUAAUAGUUCAUCUGCAUUGGAAUUGAAUUGAAUUGAAAUAGAAAAAGUUCCAGAUCUGAGGUUGGCUAAAGGUCUCUUAAGAGCCUUUUACUCUACAAGUUCCCUUUCACCUUUUUAUUUUUCUUGAAGUUUUUUGUUUGUUUAUUUUUGGUUGUUGUUGAGGGAAACAGGUUGCUUGUCCUGUAGUGUUUCUCAUGUCCUGGAAUUUAAUAUUGCAUACUCUUAGUCUCAUCCAAUGUGUUUCUCUCUUAUGAACUGACACUUAUCUAUAGGUUUAAUCAAAUUAAAAGUCAAUAUUUUGGCAUGACUUUAUUAUAGAAGGUAUUGUUUACUUCUAUCAGGAACUGAAUCAUAUCUACUUGUCUUUCUUUUUUAAUGUUAGCAGCUAUUGAUAUUUAUUUUCUGGGUCUAUUCAUUUAGUAUGGGAUAUAAAAUGAUUACACAUCUUCUUCAUUUGGUAACAAAAACUUUCCCUCAUCAAAUUGUUUGUUUACCUUAUGAUACAAUUUGUAUGUGAAUAAAUACUUACUUCCCUUUAUCAUUUUUUAAAAUAGCAAAUUGGUGGUGACCAAUUUUUUCCUUCUGAAUAAAAUCAUUAAUUCAUAAAUUUAAGUAUAUUUGAUAUACUUUAGUCUGCAAAAGUUAUUAUCUUUGUUGACAUUAAUAUUGCCCCAUCUUUGCAUAAUGAGAGCUUACUAUUGUUGGUUCCAGGGUCUUUUUGACGUAAAUCUAGCAGUCAUUGAUAGCUUUAUAUUUUAUUACAAUAAGAUAGUCCAAGCUUGUCCUGUAUUUCCUAACUCAGAGCUAGUAUUGCCUAUCUUUCAAAAUAUUCUUCAUUCCUUUUUUAUGGAAAUGGUAUUUACAGACCAAAAUCUAGGCCCUCAUCACUACUGGGUCAAUCUUUUGUCUAAGAUUUUUUGUGGAUUCAGUUAGAUAGUACAUGUUAAUUUAAAUACUAAUACAUGCAAAUAAAAUUAAGAACUACAGGGUUUUGACUUAACCUUAACCAUCUUGUAUUACCUUUCUUCACAUCAAAACUUCUAGUAUUCAAGGAAGCUAAAAUAAUCACUCAAUAGCUUUAUUUAUUUAUAUUAUAUAUAACACUCAUAACAGGCCUAAAACUCCCUUUAAUAAUAUGAUUGCUGAAAAACAGUUUAAGAUUUGUUUACAACUGUGUGUACUUGGGGAUGUACUCUCAAAUUACUGUGUUUUAGUCAUUUGGAAUAGUUUCUAUCUUGGUUCCACCAGCUGGGUACACAGAUUCAUUUUGAUACAUUUUGCCUUGAUGUUUAGGGCUUACUUUUAAGUUUCAAUUUUAUUUUAUAAAUAUGUAAAAUAUGUAUGUGGUUCUAAAAUCAAAUCCAUAAAACAACUUAUAUUCAUAAAAGUUUUACCUCUAUUUUUGUCUUUUCCAUAUAACUCUCUCCCUAUUUAGAUAACUCUGUUACAUCAUUACUACUUUGUAAUUAAGACACACACAUAGGCAUAUACAGGCAUUAACUAGCAGCAUACUAUAUGAUCUGGUUUGGCUGUGUCCCCACCAGAAUCUCAUCUUGAAUUUCCAUGUGUUGUGGGAGGGACCUGGUGGGAGGUAAUUGAAUCAUGGGGACAGGUAUUUCCCAGGCUGUUCUCAUGAUAGUGAAUAAGUCUUACAAGAUUUGAUGGUUUUAAAAGCAGGAGUUUCCCUGCGCAAGCUCUCUCUUUGCCUGCUGCCAUCCAUGUAGAUGUGACUUGCUCUACCUUGCCUUCUGCCAUGAUUGUGGGGCCUCCUCAGUCAUGUGGAACUGUUAAGUCCAUUAAACCUCUUUUUCUUCCCAAUCUCGGGUAUGUACUUAUCAGCAGUGUGAAAAUGGACUAAUACACUCUACAUACUUUUUCACCUUCCUUUCUGAUUUAACUACAUAUUCCUGAGAUUAUUCUAUAGUAAUAUAUAGAUAUAUUAACCUUUUCUAUGAUAGGUACAUAGAUUUCUAUUGUGUUGAUAUACCACAGUUUCUUCAAUCUAUCCUUCACUGUUAUUUGAACUUUGUUUACAGACAUAAAAGAUAUAUUCUAGUCCUUAAAAAAAAGCUAUAUUUGGCAGGGUGUGGUGGCUCCACCUGCAAUCCCAGCAGUUUGGGAGGCUGAGGCGGGUGGUUCACCUGAGGUUAGGAGUUCAAGACCAGCCUGGCCUACAUGGUGAAAUCCUGUAGUAAAAAUACAAAAAAAUUAGCUGGGCAUGGUGGCGGAUGCCUGUUAUCCCAGCUACUUGGGAGGCUGAAGCAGGAGAAUCGCUUGAACCUGGGAGGCAGAGGUUGCAGUGAGCUGCGAUCCCACCACUGCAUGCCAGCCUGGUCAACAGAGCAAGACUGUGUCUCAAAAAAAAAAAAAAAGAAAAAAGAAAAAAUAUAUAUUCAAGCCCCGGUACUUGUAAAUGUGACCUUAUUUGUAAAUAGGGUUUUUGCAGAUAUAAUCAAGUUAAGAUGAGGUCAUCCUCCUAUGUUAGUUAGGCCCUAAUUCAAUAUUUUGGUGAUCUUAUAAGAAGAGGAGAGAAGCCAACAGGGAGAAGAUAGCCAUGUGAGACAGAGACAGAGAUUGGAGACAAGAACUGCCAAGGACUGUCAGAAACCAGAAGAGGCAAGGAAAGAUUCCUUCCUACAGGUUUCAGAGGGAGUAUGGCCCUAUUGAUAGCCUGAUUUUAGAUUUCCAGCAUUCAGAACUGGGACACAAUUUUUUGUUUGUUUGUUUUUUUAAACCACAUAGUUUUUUACACCAUAGUUAUUACUUUUUUACAGCAAUCCUGGGAAACUAAUAUACUUACUGAUUGCCAUUUUGGUAGUUUCUAGUCUUCUGCUCUUGGAAACAAUGCUGUGAUGAAAAUCUUUGUAAAUACAUCAUUUUAUAUAUUUUUUCCAGAGUACUUUGCAGUGGAGUUUUGGAAAUGAGAUUGCUGGUCAAAGGGUAAAUACAUAGGUAGUUUUGGAAGACAGUCUCAAAUUCCCUUCUAUACGGGUUUUAUUAUUUUGCUUCGUGAGCAAUAAUUUUCAAUGUGCCUAUUUCCUUACACUUAAAAUUUUGCCCAUCUGAUAGGUGAAAAAUUAUUUUUCAAUAUAGUUUUAAUUUUAAUUAUCUCUUAUUGGUAAGGCUGACUGUAUUUUCAUAUGGUUAACAGCCAUUUGAUUUCUUCUGGUCGGGGUACUAUCUGUUCAUAUAUUUAGCCCAUUUUUCUAUGAAGGUAAGUCCCCCUUCCCAUCUAGAGUUAUUUUUAUAUUGGAAUUAUUAAUUAUUUGAGAUAUGUUAAAUACCCCAGUUCGUUUUUUGUCUUUUUAUUUGCUUAUGAUGUUUUUUCAUUUAUUUAUUGCCAUCCUUAAGACAUUUUAAAGUCUUUAUUUCUUGAAUUCACCAGUGAUAUAUAAUCAGUUCAUGGAGAAAAGAUACUUUUAUUAAGAAUAAAGCUAACAUAGAGGACUUUUUAGACGGUCUUCCAGAUUUUUUUAUAAUGUAAUGGUAUAUUAUUGGUUUUAUGCUUAAAGUUGAUUUUGAGGAAUUCUGACACAAUUCUAAGUUGCAUGGCUUAUAGCACUCAGAAAGAUAAAGGAAUCUUUGCUUGAAUUAACACUUUCUCAUCAGCCUUUGGUGUAUGGAUAGAAAGUACCAGAUUAUCUAUUAGUAAGAAACGAAUCAGCACUUACACAUUUGAAAAAUACAUUCACUGUUUAAAAUUUACUCAGUUGACAUUUAAAUAUGCCACACAUAUUCUUUAGCAAUUCAACUUUUAUCAAACACUAAACAUUUAUUGUCUGUUGCCUAUGAACAUGUGUCUUCUUCCAAGUGAAUUUAUCAUCUAAAACUGGUCUAUUUUACCCAGAUCCUACAAGUAAUUAUCUCUACAAGCUUCAGCAAAUGCGCUUUUAGUUCCUGUCUGUGUAAGAUGAGGUGGCUAGAAUAAAAUAUUCUAAAGCUCAUUUCAACUCUAAAAUAUAUUAAUCUGCUUCUGUAGUAAGGAUCUCACAUUUCUUAGGAAACCCUUGAAUAGAUCUUAUCUCUUUUCAUUUAGACAAAAUUAAUUUCAGCACCUCUUGGUUGAUAGAUACAAAAAUGGAACUUCACAUAGUUCCAUUCCCUUUCUGCCAUGCAGAGUGAAUGGCCUGAGAACACAUUUAUAACUGAGAGGUAGGGGAGCAGGCUGACUCACCUGCAGGGCCUUGACUUCUGUAGAUACCCAGCUCCUUCAGGAAGCGCUGAGGAGUGCUCUCAUCCUCCCUCCAGGAGGGAAGGAAGACAGGCAAGAGGAGGAGAGGAGGUUCACCAGAUUCCUCCUAAGCUGACAUUGUCCCUGAUAAUUUCUAUGGCCCAAUUUGGAGCCUCAGCUUCAGUAAAUUCUGACAACUCAGGAUAAAAGGACCCCACCACGUUGUGCUCCCCUAUGACCUAUUCUUUUCUUUCAUGCAAGUUAUAUUUAAAAACCAUGUAUUUUAUGUUUGUUUAUGUGUUUACUGCUUGCCUUUGGGACAAGAUUGUAAGCUCUCUAAGGACAGGGAUCAGAUAUUGUUUUAUUUUAAACAAAUGCAUAUGUAAUUAAUUUUAUAUUUUAAAUUUAUUGUUAUUGCAUUUUCCAUUUGAAUUUAUUAUUUAAUAAUUUUAAUAAAUUGUAAUAAUGAAUGUGAUUGUAGCUAAUUCUCAUUAUUUGGGGAUUCCCUAUUUGUGAGUUUACCUAUUCACUAAGAUUUAUUUGUAACAUCCAAAUCAAUACUCCCAAUGCUUAGUAGUCAUUGCUGGACAUACCAUGUGCAGAAUGGGGAAAAGCAAAGUGGCCUGAUGUGCACAUUCCUGGUUGAGGGUCCCAGCUGAGGUUGAACAAGAUGACAUUCUCUUAUUAUUUCAGGUCUCAUACUGUAAACAAGUGUACUUUCUGUGAUCUAUUUAAUGCUACAUUUUUCACAUUUUUGUGUUUUAUUAUUGAUAGUUUUCUUGCUUAAAAUGGCCCUCAGGCAUAGUGCUGAAGUGCUAUCUAGUGUCCUCAAGCACAGGAAGCCUAUGACGUGCCUUACAGAGAAAGCACUCAUGUUAAUAAGCUCCUUUCAGGCAUGAGUUCUGUGUGGUUGGCUGUGAGUUCAAUAUUAAUGAAUAGACAAUAUAUGUUUUGCAUGGUGUCUUUAAACAGAAACAUAAAACAUACAACAAGCAACAAGGCUAUGUAUUGAUUAUUUGAUUAAAACGUUGUGACAAGAGGCUCCCAGGAACCCAACCCUGUAUUUCCUCUCCGUGACAAUGAUUCAGUAUGUGCUAAUUCAGUAUUCACAGAGACUCUAUAGAACAUAACUACUUCAAAUAAUGAAAAUUAACUGUGUUUAAUUUUUAUUUUUCUUUUAAAUGAAUGAAUAUCAAUGUAAUAAAUAUUUAUACCUGUCAUAUAGUUGGUUACUAAUAAAUGUUUAUCAAAUGAACAAUUAAAUGAAUGUUGAUUGUGAUCAGAACCGUGAUCUUGAUAAAAGGGUU